UGGGGGAUAUUGCACAAUGGAGGAAACUCUGAUGCAGCGACGCCGCGUGAGUGAAGAAGUAUUUCGGUAUGUAAAGCUCUAUCAGCAGGGAAGAUAAUGACAGUACCUGACUAAGAAGCCCCGGCUAACUACGUGCCAGCAGCCGCGGUAAUACGUAGGGGGCAAGCGUUAUCCGGAUUUACUGGGUGUAAAGGGAGCGUAGACGGAACGGCAAGUUUGAAGUGAAAUACCCGGGCUUAACCCGGGAACUGCUUUGAAAACUGUCGAUCUAGAGUGUCGGAGAGGUAAGUGGAAUUCCUGGUGUAGUAGUGAAAUGCGUAGAUAUCAGGAAGAACACCGGAGGCGAAGGCGGCUUACUGGACGAUAACUGACGUUGAGGCUCGAAAGCGUGGGGAGCAAACAGG
rnacentral:rRNA from 1 species